CUUGCUGCGACGGNGCGACGGGUGAGUAACACGUAUCCAACCUACCCUUUACUCGGGGAUAGCCUUUCGAAAGAAAGAUUAAUACCCGAUAGCAUAAUGAUUCCGCAUGGUUUCAUUAUUAAAGGAUUCCGGUAAAGGAUGGGGAUGCGUUCCAUUAGGUUGUUGGUGGGGUAACGGCCCACCAAGCCUUCGAUGGAUAGGGGUUCUGAGAGGAAGGUCCCCCACAUUGGAACUGAGACACGGUCCAAACUCCUACGGGAGGCAGCAUG
rnacentral:rRNA from 1 species